rnacentral:rRNA from 1 species
UACGGAGGGUGCAAGCGUUAUCCGGAUUUACUGGGUUUAAAGGGUGCGUAGGCGGGCCUUUAAGUCAGUGGUGAAAUCUCCCCGCUCAACGGGGAAACUGCCAUUGAUACUAUUGGUCUUGAAUUUAGUUGAGGUGGGCGGAAUGUGUCGUGUAGCGGUGAAAUGCUUAGAUAUGACACAGAACACCGAUUGCGAAGGCAGCUCGCUAAACUAAUAUUGACGCUGAGGCACGAAAGCGUGGGGAGCAAACAGG